UCCUCGGAACUUGUCAGAGAUGACUUGGUGCCUUCGGGAACCGAGAGACAGGUGCUGCAUGGCUGUCGUCAGCUCGUGUCGUGAGAUGUUGGGUUAAGUCCCGUAACGAGCGCAACCCUUGUCCAUAGUUGCCAGCACGUAAAGGUGGGAACUCUAUGGAGACUGCCGGUGACAAACCGGAGAAGGUGGGGAUGACGUCAAGUCCUCAUGGCCCUUAUGGGUAGGGCUUCACACGUCAUACAAUGGUCGGUACAGAGGGUUGCCAAGCCGCGAGGUGGAGCCAAUCCCAGAAAGCCGAUCGUAGUCCGGAUUGUUCUCUGCAACUCGAGAGCAUGAAGUCGGAAUCGCUAGUAAUCGCGGAUCAGCAUGUCGCGGUGAAUACGUUCCCGGGUCUU
rnacentral:rRNA from 1 species